CACGAAAGGCGCAACGAUCUGGGCACUGUCUCAACGAGAGACUCGGUGAAAUUAUAGUACCUGUGAAGAUGCAGGUUACCCGCGACAGGACGGAAAGACCCCGUGGAGCUUUACUGCAGCCUGAUAUUGAAUGUUGGUACAGCUUGUACAGGAUAGGUAGGAGCCUUGGAAACCGGAGCGCCAGCUUCGGUGGAGGCAUCGGUGGGAUACUACCCUGGCUGUAUUGACCUUCUAACCCGCCGCCCUUAUCGGGCGGGGAGACAGUGUCAGG
rnacentral:rRNA from 1 species